rnacentral:rRNA from 1 species
UACGGAGGGUGCAAGCGUUAUCCGGAUUUACUGGGUUUAAAGGGUGUGUAGGCGGACUUUUAAGUCAGGGGUGAAAUCCCGAGGCUCAACCUGGAAACUGCCAUUGAUACUAUUAGUCUUGAAUUUUGUUGAGGUAGGCGGAAUAAGUCAUGUAGCGGUGAAAUGCAUAGAUAUGACUUAGAACACCAAUUGCGAAGGCAGCUUGCUAAACAAAUAUUGACGCUGAGGCACGAAAGCGUGGGGAUCAAACAGG